GUGCUUGCUUCAUAAGUACAUAUACUAAAAUUGGAAUGAUACAGCAAAGAUUAGCAUGACCCCUACACAAGGAUGACGUACAAAUCUGUGAAGUAUUCUUUAAAAAA
ensembl:snRNA U6 U6 spliceosomal RNA